CACACACACACACACUUUUAAUUUAUUUUAACAUGUUUAUUUUUUUUUUAAUUCUUCCCACCAGCAGGGGGACUGUCUGACUGCCCAGACAGUCUCCCUGCUGGCAGAUCCACAGCCAGCUAUAGGGGGCCAUGUGAUCAUUCUUUGAGAUCCGUGGGAGGGCUGCCUGGGCUGUCAGGCAGUCCUUCCAAGAGGAUCACGGCAGAGGUAAGUAGCUGGAGGCUCUUGGGGGCUUAAGCCGUUACGGUGUUCUAUGCCGCUUUAAAGCCCAUUUAAAUGGGGACAGCAUAGAACGCCGUAACGGCGUUAAGGGGUUAAAGGACCACUCUAGGCACCCAGACCACAUCAGUUUAAUGUAGUGGUCUGGGUGCCAGGUCCCCCUAGUGGCUACCUCUAAUGGCUCUCCUCACGGAGUCCAGCGUCAAAUAAGAUCCCCAAAAGAAAGCAUUGAGUAAUGCUUUCCUAUUGGCGCGUUUGAAUGUGCGCGCCUCUGGCCGCGCAUGUGCAUUCGGCCCGACUCGGGAGCUGACAUCGGCGGGGGAGGAGAGGUCACCAGCACCGAGGGAGCCCGGCACUGGAUUAAGGUUAGUGGCUAAAGGGUUUUUAACCCCCUUCAGCGCCGAGGGAGGGGGGCACUCCAAGAGCCUAUAGUGCCAGGGAAACGGGUUUGUUUUCCUGGCACUAUAGGAUCCCUUUAAGUUGAUCUCCAAACAUUAGUGAUUCAUCUAUUAAAAUUAAGACAGAUGAUGAAAUUAUUGCAAUGUGAACUAUGUAUGUCAAAUUGUAUCGAACAAAAAAAAUCAGUUCUGAUAUAAAUGUUUAACAAAUCAGAAAGGUUAGAAUUCUAAAUAUG